UUUAAAAAAAAAAACAAAGAAAAAUCUAUUUUUGUGAGCGGAAUAAUUUUGGUGUUAGAUCAAGCUGUUAUUCGUUCGGAGAACAAGUUAGAAGCCAUAUCGCGAAAUAAAAUUUCGCAUUAUGUCGUCAUCGAAAUCUAAGAUUCUGCUGGGCUAUUGGGACAUUCGAGGUCUGGCCCAGCCAAUCCGUUUGUUGCUAGCUUACGCUGGCGCUGAUUUUGAAGAACGGCGUUACACUACUAUUGCCGCUUCUGAUUUCGAUAAAUCAGAAUGGGCCCUAGAGAAGGCAAAUAACAAGUUAAAUCUUGCGUUUCCCAACUUACCGUAUCUAGUCGAUGGCAGUGUCAAACUAAGUCAGAGUCAUGCUAUUAUGAGAUACUUGGGACGUAAGUUUAAUCUAAUUGGCACAACCGAGAUUGAGCUAGCUCACUGUGAGCUCGUUGAACAACAGAUUGCUGACUUACGCACAGCCUUCAUGAAAUUGUGUUACAGUCCAAGUUUCGAGCGACUUCAGGAGGGUACAUGCUCAAAGGCGGACUGCCUUGGAGUUCUCAAUGGCGGAUUUAUCGAUCGCUUUGCACAUAUGCUUCAAGAGAUUUCGGCAUUUCUCGGCGAAAGGAAAUGGUUCCUAAAUGAAAAGUUAACUUACGUUGACUUUCUUGCUUACGAACUUCUUUUUCAAAUGUAUGUCUGGAAUUCAUCAGUAUUCAAAAAUGUGACGAAUCUAACAGAUUUUAUCACCCGGUUCGAGGCACUUCCGCAAAUAUCAGCAUACAUGAAGACGGACAGCUAUAUUAAGUGGCCGUUCAACAAUAUUAUGGCAUCAUAUGGUUCCCGAAAUCAAGUGUGCCCCUUCUAAUCUACUACGUUCUAAGACAUAAUCGGCUGCAUAUCAAGCCUAUGAUGAACUAAGGCUGUUGGGCGGGUCAGAGUUGCUCUUGCAUCAAAUUAGUAUGUCAAUCAUUAUACACGAAGCCUA